AUGCAGAAGGGUGCAUGGGAGAGGGUGUCUGGCCUGGCUUUGCAAAAGUGCAAACCAGUAGCGGACGGAGGAAUCCCUGAAGGUGAAGAGGAUGUUCCUAAAGGCACAGAUGCUGUACUCCAAGAUACAAUCGAGGAGAACUUCCCAAGCAUGCCAAAUGGAAGGGAGACCCCCAACAAGCCGCUGGGCAAGAUGUCGUCGUACGCCUUCGUGCAGACAUGCCGCCAAGAGCACAAGAAGAAGCACCCGGACUCCUCCGUCAACUUCGCGGAGUUUUCCAAGAAGUGUUCCGAGCGGUGGAAGACCAUGUCUGCAAAGGAAAAGUCCAAGUUUGAAGAUAUGGCCAAAAAUGACAAAAGCUCGCUAUGACAGAGAGAGAAAGAACUAUGUUCCUCCCAAAGGCGACAAGAAAGGAAAGAAAAAAGAUCCCAGUGCUCCUAAAAGGCCCCCAUCUGCCUUUUUCCUGUUUUGUUCAGAACAUGCCCAAAGAUUAAAAGUGAACACCUGGGCCUGCCCAUUGGGGAUACUGCAAAAAAACUGGGUGAAAUGUGGUCUGAGCAGUCAGCCAAAGAUAAACAGCCAUACGAACAGAAAGCAGCAAAGCUAAAGGAGAAAUAUGAAAAGGAUAUUGCUGCAUACCGUGCCAAGGGCAAAAGUGAAGCAGGGAAGAAAGGCCCUGGCAGGCCAGCAGGUUCAAAGAAGAAGAAUGAACCUGAGGAAGAGGAGGAGGAAGAGGAGGAAGAUGAAUAAAUGGCUAUCCUGUAAUGAUGCGUAUGGAGUGUGUGUAUAUGCUCAGGCAAUUGUUUUGCUAAGAAUGUAAAUUCAAGUGCAGCUCAACAUUAGCUCAGUAUAAGAACUGUACAGAUUUUUGUAUAGCUGAUAGGAUUCUUUGUAGAGAAAAUACUUUAAAAAAAUGCAGGUUGUAGCUUUUUG